CGGCGACGCUGCCCGGCUGCAUGCCCCCUCCUCCCGAGUCCGAGUGCACGAUGGAGCCGGCGGCCAGGAUGCUGUUGCUGGGGAGGCCGCAACAAUGUUCUCCAGCCUUGUCUAUAUGGAUUUCAAAAGCUCUGUGUCUCCAAGUAACGCUUCAGCAUCCUUUGUGAUGGGAUCCCUUGUGUGUGAGCAUCAUCAUCAGUCUCUAAGACAAUUUUUUUUUUUUAACUUUCAGUAUUUGUGAAAAGAUUGCUAGAUCUCUGUUCAGAGCUUCUCUGGGUGCAGAACUACUCCACUGAAGAGAUCGCUCCAUUUACAACAGCCAAGAGGAAUUUGAGUAGGAAGGAAAAUAUUGAUGAAAAUGAAAUUUUGACAAAUAUUGGAAAUGAAAUUCAGAGAAAAUUCUCAUGCUGUUUCACCCAUCAACCAACAGUGCAUUUAG